GCCAGACUCCUACGGGAGGCAGCAGUGGGGGAUAUUGCACAAUGGGGGAAACCCUGAUGCAGCGACGCCGCGUGAGUGAAGAAGUAUUUCGGUAUGUAAAGCUCUCUCAGCAGGGAAGAAAAAAGACGGUACCUGACUAAGAAGCCCCGGCUAACUACGUGCCAGCAGCCGCGGUAAUACGUAGGGGGCAAGCGUUAUCCGGAUUUACUGGGUGUAAAGGGAGCGUAGACGGCAAUACAAGUCGGAAGUGAAAUACCCGGGCUUAACCUGGGAACUGCUUUGGAAGCUGUAUGGCUGGAGUGCUGGAGAGGUAAGCGGAAUUCCUAGUGUAGCGGUGAAAUGCGUAGAUAUUAGGAGGAACACCAGUGGCGAAGGCGGCUUACUGGACAGUAACUGACGUUGAGGCUCGAAAGCGUGGGGAGCAAACAGGAUUAGAUACCCGAGUA
rnacentral:rRNA from 1 species